AGCAGCCGCCACGGUAAUACGUAGGGUGCAAGCGUUAAUCGGAAUUACUGGGCGUAAAGCGUGCGCAGGCGGUUAUAUAAGACAGAUGUGAAAUCCCCGGGCUCAACCUGGGAACUGCAUUUGUGACUGUAUAGCUAGAGUACGGCAGAGGGGGAUGGAAUUCCGCGUGUAGCAGUGAAAUGCGUAGAUAUGCGGAGGAACACCGAUGGCGAAGGCAAUCCCCUGGGCCUGUACUGACGCUCAUGCACGAAAGCGUGGGGAGCAAACAGGAUUAGAUACCCCUGUAGUCCCUGUCUCUUAUAC
rnacentral:rRNA from 1 species